GGGGAUUUAGCUCAGCGGUAGAGCACUUGCCUAGCAAGCGCAAGGCCCUAGGUUCAAUCCCCA
rfam:Rattus norvegicus chromosome 15, whole genome shotgun sequence.